UGGUGGAGUGAUUUGUCUGGUUGAUUCCGAUAACGAACGAGACGGGAGGAGUUCACUAGUUUCUUAAUAAUUCGCGUUAUUAAAAGCUUCUUUACUCGACUGGUCAUUUUAAUGACAGGAAGCGUCCCGCAAUAACA
rnacentral:rRNA from 1 species